UACAGAGACGGCAGGCGUUGUUCGGAUUCAUUGGGCGUUAAGGGUGCGUAGGCGGUCGGCUAAGUCGGAUGUGAAAUCUCACAGCCUAACUGUGAUAGGUCAUUCGAAACUGGCUGGCUUGAGGACUGGAGAGGAGACUGGAAUUGUCGGUGUAGCGGUGAAAUGCGUAGAGAUCGACAAGAACACCGGUGGCGAAGGCGGGUCUCUGGACAGUUCCUGACGCUGAGGCACGAAAGCCAGGGGAG
rnacentral:rRNA from 1 species